AUUGGCCUACGGGGCGCAGCAGUAGGGAAUCUUCCACAAUGGGCGAAAGCCUGAUGGAGCAACGCCGCGUGGGUGAAGAAGGUCUUCGGAUCGUAAACCCCUGUUGUUAGAGAAGAAAGUGCGUGAGAGUAACUGUUCACGUUUCGACGGUAUCUAACCAGAAAGCCACGGCUAACUACGUGCCAGCAGCCGCGGUAAUACGUAGGUGGCAAGCGUUAUCCGGAUUUAUUUGGCGUAAAGGGAACGCAGGCGGUCUUUUAAGUCUGAUGUGGAAGCCUUCGGCUUAACCGGAGUAGUGCAUUGGG
rnacentral:rRNA from 1 species